rnacentral:rRNA from 1 species
AACGAACGCUGGCGGCAUGCCUAACACAUGCAAGUCGAACGAGAUCUUCGGGUCUAGUGGCGCACGGGUGCGUAACGCGUGGGAAUCUGCCCUUUGGUUCGGAAUAACAGUUGGAAACGACUGCUAAUACCGGAUGAUGACGAAAGUCCAAAGCUUUCUCGCCAGAGGGUGAGCCCCCGUGGGAUUGGCUAGUUGGGGUGGUAAAGGCGCAACAAGGCGAGGAUAGUUAGCUGGUCUGAGAGGAUGAGCAGCCACACUGGGACUGCGACACGGCCCAGACGCCUACGGGAGGCAGCGGUGUGGAAUAUAAUACAAUGGGCGAAAGCCUGAUCCAGCAAUGCGGCGUGAGUGAUGAAGGCCUUAGGGUUGUAAAGCUCUUUUACCCGGGAUGAUAAUGACAGUACCGGGAGAAUAAGCUCCGGCUAACUCCGUGCCAGCCGCCGCAGUAA